rnacentral:rRNA from 1 species
UACGUAGGGUGCGAGCGUUAAUCGGAAUUACCGGGCGUAAAGCGUGCGCAGGCGGUUCGUUGUGUCGGCGGUGAAAGCCCCGGGCUUAACCUGGGAAUGGCCGUUGAAACUGGCGAACUGGAGUGUGGCAGAGGGGGGUGGAAUUCCGCGUGUAGCAGUGAAAUGCGUAGAGAUGCGGAGGAACACCGAUGGCGAAGGCAGCCCCCUGGGCUAACACUGACGCUCAGGCACGAAAGCGUGGGGAGCAAACAGG